UACAGAGGGUGCAAGCGUUGUUCGGAAUUAUUGGGCGUAAAGCGCGUGUAGGCGGCUUUGCAAGUCGGGUGUGAAAUCCCUCAGCUUAACUGAGGAAGUGCGCCCGAAACUGCUUUGCUUGAGUGCCGGAGAGGAGUGGCGGAAUUCCCCAAGUAGAGGUGAAAUUCGUAGAUAUGGGGAGGAACACCGGUGGCGAAGGCGGCCAUCUGGACGGUAACUGACGCUGAGACGCGAAAAGCGUGGGGAGCAAACAGG
rnacentral:rRNA from 1 species